GACGAACGCUGGCGGCGUGCUUAACACAUGCAAGUCGAACGGAAAGGCCCUUCGGGGUACUCGAGUGGAGAACGGGUGAGUAACACGUGGGUGAUCUGCCCUGCACUUUGGGAUAAGCCUGGGAAACUGGGUCUAAUACCGAAUAUGAUCAUCAGCUUCAUGGUUGGUGGUGGAAAGCUUUUGCGGUGUGGGAUGGGCCCGCGGCCUAUCAGCUUGUUGGUGGGGUAAUGGCCUACCAAGGCGACGACGGGUAGCCGGCCUGCGAGGGUGACCGGCCACACUGGGACUGAGAUACGGCCCAGACUCCUACGGGAGGCAGCAGUGGGGAAUAUUGCACAAUGGGCGCAAGCCUGAUGCAGCGACGCCGCGUGAGGGAUGACGGCCUUCGGGUUGUAAACCUCUUUCAGCACAGACGAAGCGCAAGUGACGGUAUGUGCAGAAGAAGGACCGGCCAACUACGUGCCAGCCGCCGCCGUAA
rnacentral:rRNA from 1 species